GAGGGUAUGGCUCAGUGGUAGGGUACAUGCCUAGCAUGCACAAGGACCUGCGUUCAACUCCCAGUACCUCCA
rnacentral:tRNA from 1 species